rnacentral:misc_RNA from 1 species
GACGGACACGGUCACGCGGUUGUUUUGCUUGGAACUGGAAAAGGGCGCACAGACGGAAGCACCGCGGCGGAGGGACGUCAACGGAUUCUCCUGGAGCUGCUGUCUCGGCAAAGACUGACGUGCAACGGCGAUCGUGUGUUGGCGGGGCAGUCGGCUCCACUGGCCUCUUCGCUGUUACGUGUGAGCAAAAACUGGUAAGAUAGACAGUGACGGUGCCGUGUCGGCGAUCUCCUGCCCCUCUCCCCAUUCCGCUCUGCGCACAGGCGUGCAAGGCGGGCCGCAAUGAAGCUUUUUCUGACCGUCGUGAGGCGCCACAACUCUACAAACAGCAGCGAUGCCACUCCUACAGAUGAUGUGGCCCUCUUCGACCCCGGUGUGUGGAGCCGCACAACAACGUCGGAGAUGGCUCGCCGCAACGUUUCGGCAUCCUACGUUGCGCAGCAGGUGUACCGACACGCGGCACUGACGCAACUGGCGAAAGCCGCGCUGGAGGGCGCGGUAUGCUUUCGAUACGGCCCCCGCCCACCAACGCACCUCGAUAGCUUUCUUUUCCACAAGCGCAGUCGCCUCACCGAACACGGAAGGAGCGGCACGCUACCAGCGGCAGCGGCGCCGCCCGUGUGCACGUCGUCGCCUCUCAUCUCAUCCUCAUGCUCGUCCUUCUCCGUGAGCAUGACGGCCACUUCACCUCGGACAGGCCAGAAACGAAGCACUGCCGCCGGUGCGAGCGGCUCGGCCACUGAGUAUGACAGCCUCCUCGCUCUCUGGCUGAGGGAACUGCUCUCCGGCACCGGUAUCUCCGUCACCGUGACAGCGUUGCUCCUGUUCGUGGACGGCACCGCCAUCGAUAUGGCAACCGGCAGCGAGGUGCACAAGCCCCUCAACGUAGGCAGCGGCACCGCAAGACAACUGCGCACGCACGAGGACGCCAUGGCGUUUCUGCACGCGUGCGAGUCCACGAUACGCCAUAGCGCUGCCGAGUUUCCGCGGUGCCCGUACCACGUCUGCGUCGCCGUACUUGUCGGCGCUCACGGUGGCUCGCAUAGAAGGAACACCGUUACAUUCCUCGACGUCGCCGCCGCUGCGCCGGAGAGCGCCGGCGCCGAGGAAGAGGUGCGCUUGCGGGAGCAGGUGGCCCUCUUUCGUCGGCAGCUCGGCGCUGAAGCGGCAACGGCCACGCCUCACGCUUGUAAGCGGACGCGCAAGGCGGAGGACGAGCAGUGGCUCAGUCUCCUGCAGUCCUGCCAACUCUCUCGCGCAAGCCUGGUAGGGCUCGUCUACAUCGCGUGCGAGGCAGGCCACGAUUCGUUUGGCCACUUCCGCGUCGAGGAGAAUGGCUGCGACCCCUUCACUCUUGUCAGUGUCCUACGCCAACGCGCGCUCUUGGAAGCGGUCAACAACGGCGUGUUGCACCUCCAACUGCGAAAGCCGUCCCACGCCCAGAAGCGCGCAAAUGCGCGAUCGGUGAAGCUGCCCACGGGCGAUGCCACCACAACAUCGCGCGCGCCGGACUCUCCACCCAAGGGGCGGCCCAGCAGAGGGCGGCAGCGGCCGCAGCAGCACCGUUCGAGGCUUCCUUACCUGACGCGCGGCUCGGUGCCGCCGCGUCGCGCACAGGAGCACUCCAUAGUCUUUUGCGGUUUUCCUCGCUGCAGCCGCUCCGUGGAUCCGCUGGCGCGCAUUGGGAGGGAGGAGCGCCACGCACGGGUGGCGCUGUCAAGCGCGGAGCAGCGAGCCAGGAAGCUGGCGGAGUUGCGCUGGAUUCUGCGUGCCCAUCCGCCCGGCAAGUCCAUCGACGCCAUGCUGCGGCGCCUCGCGCACAACGUCAAUCGAGUGAGCCGACCUGAGCAGCAGCACCCACACUCAGUCCCGCCUCGCUUCUCACCGCCGCCGCUGAACGAGGCCCAACUUGCCACUGCCAUCAACCGGUCUUCUACCACUGCCACGAGAUGGUCGUCCUUCACCUCACCGAUGCGCACGCCCGAGUCCACCUCACCUGGCGGCACGGUGCGGAAGAGGGUGGCCGCUUCGAUGCUCCCCACAUCCCCGUCUUGUCCAGCCUUGGCAAGCCCCUACUUUACGCGGCGCAUCACGACACCGCUGUUCUUCCGCGAAGCCGGUUCUCCACCGCAGAACCAAGACGAUCCACGAGCGCACUCCGUAUCAUCGCGUGCGGCUGUACGCGGCCACACCGCUGCAGGGCUCGAGCGGCGUCGCCUAAACUCCGGCGCGUCCUUCUCCCUCGCCACUGGCUCCCCAAACACGCACACGUACACCUCCGCUCGCCGGCUCUCUGCCAUCGAAACGGCCCUACUCGCGCGCGCGCACUCUUCUAACCAGCGCAGCCUUCCAUCCCACUCUCCGCGCAUGGGCGAGGUAGAGCGACUCUAUCCCCUUGUGCACGCGUUUCACGUCGAGAUGUGCGAGCAGGACACGCUGAUGGCGGAGGAGCUCAUGAUGCGCAGUCGCAUCGAGCACAAGGAGAAGAACUGCCGCAAGACGCUGAGUUUUGCUCGCGCUGAGUCGGUGCGGCGACCAUCCGUGUUGUGGCCAUCUGAGACAGGAACGCAGCCGCAACGAGAGCCGCAGGUGCCCCACAGCCCCCGGUGGCGCCCAGCGAAGCCACGUCCUUUGCGCAUCUUCUUCCAGCAGUAGGGGACUUAGGGCCGGAGAACACAACCGCGUGCGCCAUCAAAGGCAAGCGUCGUCCACAAGCUCAUCGUCGAAGAGAGAGAGCAGGAGGGGUGAGGGCGAUGGUGAGUUCUGCACGCGCCCACGGAAACGAACAAACGCGUGCAUCGCCUCCGCUGCUGACUGCCAUGUGACCCUCUCCACCCCCUCCCCUGGGCGCUGCACAGCAGAUGCGCGCGCGCCCGUACGCGCCCAUCUUGCCCCUCCUCCUCCCUCUCAUCCUUUCUUCCUCAUUCUUCUGUGUUUCAUUGUGGCCCCUUACCCUCUCCGCUACACACCGCACAUCCUACGUAUAUAUGCGUUCGCGUGCUCGCCCUCUGCGCUCCUUAAGGUGUGCGCGUGUGACCAGGCGAUGACAGGAGGAGAGAAGGGGAAGGGAAGGAGGGAGGGGAAGGGAUGCAGGGCGUGGCCGUUCGCGCGUGGCCUGGCAGACCUGCGCCACCAUGUACAAACACGCGCUCUCCACUUACUCACAUUUUGUGAUAUGCGCACGCCUACGCGUCUUCGUGUGUGCCGGCUGCCCGCUUUCUACGCUUUCUACGCUUGCGUCGCGCAGCUUCUGUUGCUUCUCUCGCUCUUCUCAUUUUGCACGUGUGCGUGUGCGAAUUCGUGCGUGCGUGGGUGGGCGCGAGGAGCUGCAGUCGAUGCUGCCGGCAGUGCUGGUAGGCGGCAAGAGAGCCCGCUGUGUGUCUGUCUGAUCCGGCCAGGGCCUGGCCGCUCCCCCAUCUCUCUCUUGUCUUUC